UCUCUCUAAAACAAAAUCUUUAAAAAAUUUUUGAUAGCCACAUACAAAAAAAUAGGUGAAACUAACUUAAGUAAUACAUUUUUAAAGCCAGUAUGUCUAAGAUAGUGUUAUUUCCACAUUUAAUCAAUAUUUCAAAAUAUGAACAAGAUAUUUGAUAUUCUGUUUUAUACCCAGUCUUUACAACCCAGUAUAUGUUUUAUACUUACCGCUGCUGCCAUUUUGGUCGGCCCAGGUAUAGAGGGUCCGUCUCCCACCCCCACAUCAAUGUCAGAUGGUCUUUUACCCAACCGCAAAGUGCAAUUUUAAGUCUCUCAAAAGAUUCAGAAUGGUGAACGUGAUGUGUGUUACUGCUGGGCUUACUCAGGAGACUUUGGCCAGUGAAGGUGUGGAGGAGUUAAGCCAGACAACAACAUAGAAAGUGGACAUGGUGGCAUGCUGGACUGAAUCAUGCUCCCCUCUCAAGGUCAUGAGAUCAAGCGCCACAGUGGGCUCUGUGCUCAGCAGGGAGUCUGCUUAAGAUUCAUAUGUGGAAGCCCUAACCCCCAAGACCUCAGAAUGUGACUUCAUUUGGGGAUAGAGUCUCCAAAGAGGUGAUUGAGUUGAAAAGAAGCCAUUAGGGUGGGCCCUGAUCCAGUACGACGUGUCCUUGUAACAAAAGGAAAUGCCGACCCAAGCACCACAUCUAUGAGCCAGGGAGAGAGGCCUCAGUAGAACCCAACCAGCCAGUACCUUGCUCUUGGACUUCCAGAAAAUAAAUUCCUGUGGUGCAACCCACCAAGUCCGUGGUACUUUGGUAGCUGCAGCCCUAGCAAGCUAAUGUGGGCGAGUUGGCUGUGGGCAUCAGAAGACCAUGAUUUGACCAUGAAAAGAUUACAAGUGGCCUUUGGGACAACUGAGAAUUUGUUCUACUGUCCUCCUACUCUUGCGUCUAGCUGGAUUCUAUCAGUGAGUGACCCCUGGUGUUUGGGGGCCUCUGAUGGAUGAGACUCGGGGAAAGGAGAGGAACGGGGGUGGGUGGGUAAGAGUUGUUCAAAUCCCUAUCCCUUACCCUCUGUGAUGGGCCACCACGCCUCGUUCCCUGGUUUCCUGGCAAGUGGCACUUAAUCCCACCAAGGUUUCUGAUCAAAGGCCUGCUCCAGAUAAGCUACAAAAUAACAUUUGGGCAUUUCUCUGGUAGAGAAAGCAUGACCUAGAAUCCCUGGCAAGCAAAUGUACAUUCCUGCGUGGCCUCUCCAGCUCUGCUCACAGACCCGCCUGCCACAGAGGAGAGACCACGUCUGUUGGACUUGUGCAAGGCACAGCCCAGCAAAGCCAGUCUCACCGUUGGGACCGCCAAGAGCAGCUCCACCAGAGAAGUCAGCGGUAAAAGCUUUCAAUUUGCUUUCUGUAUUUCUGGGUUACAAAAUGUCUCCUAAUCUUGGUCGUUGGACCUAUCGAGAAAGGAGAGACCAGUUCAGAUGUGGGGAUAAAAUAAAAGUUCGCAUGUCCCGUGUGUGGCCAACUGGGUCCCGUGACCGGGACCCUGGCUGGCUGGGGCUGGCUCUGCCAUCGACUUCGUGGGCGCACCGCCGUCACCAUCGGCAUGGGGAUGACCGUCCUGCCCUCGCCCUGGGCUGUGGGGAGGACUGUGUGAGCUGCCAGGCAGACAGCAUUCUGAACUCCGUGCCUCGUGUGGACAAUGCCCCCAGCGGAGAAGGCAUGCCACCCCAAUUUUACAGACUACAGCUGAGUGCUGAGAACAAGCCCCAGAAGGGACAUCGAUGGAAAGCAGGGCCCCCACCCACCCGGGAGUGAGCCCUCCCUUCAUGGGGCAGACGGACAAAGAUCAGCUAAUACGUAGGGGUGAACCACGAGAAGAUGAAGGCGGAGAUCCGGGGGACACAUCUACAAGGCCGGGAGCUCCAGGGAUGGCCAGCAACCACCAGACGGCAGGGAAGGGCCCGGGACGGACAUGAACCAGCCUGCCCACACUUGAUCUCGGACCUGUGUUCUCCAGAAUUGGAUUUGGUGGAGAGCACAGAUUGGCAACAAAACCUGACCCCAGGAUGCGGCGGAGUGUUGCGUAACUGUUAAAAAGGAUUUAAGAUUUGUUUCCAAAUCUGUCUGUGGGCUCGGUACAGUCCCUCUCAGAAUCCAGGCAGGCUUUUCUACACAGAUUGACAGGCCCCGUCUCAACAUUUAUACGGAAAUACAGAGGACCUAGAAUGACCAAAGCGACUUUGGAAAAGAAGAACCAAAUGGGAAGAACUUCUACCCAACUUUGGAAUUUAUCAUAAGAGCUCUUUUGACCAAGAGAAUGGAGCAGGAGUGACACUGGGUAGCUUUGAACAUGGAGCCUCCACCUUUGCCUCGGGGGUGCUUGCUCCGGAGGGGCCGGCAGCCACCACAGCCCCCUUGGGGAACCCCAGGCCACGUGAGACAGAUGGGGACACAGAGGCCCAGAGAAGAUGAGCAGCUUGUCCCAGGUCACCCAGCUGGCCAGUGGAAGAGCCAGGAUUCAGACCCAGGCAGCCUCACUCCAGGGUGUGCACUUGUCUCCCUGACGGCAGGAGAAUAUCUCCUCACACCUGAAGUCGCUAGGAGGAGAAACGCCAGCCAGGAACAUUUUCUGGAGAGAUCUGAGCCAGGAGGAAGUCCAGAGAUCCUGAGAUCACCAUGCUGGAAAGGCCAUGAAGAGAGAGAGGGAGGACCCCCAGCUGCAAGGUCAGGACCAGAGUGAGGUCUAGACACUAAGCCUCUAGUGCAAAAUUUAAGGAGAUGCAAACAACAGAACAAAAGGAAAAGACCUUUUGGCAAUCAAGUGAAUCAGUGUCUCAGUAUGUCACUGCUGAGAUUAGGUUAUGGAAGCUAUGAGAAGAUAGAGUUCCCAUCUUGUUCACACUCUUUUCUGGGAUCACUCAUCCUGGGGAAAGCUGGCUGCCAUAGUCUGAGGACACUCAACCCAAUGGAAAAGAACAGGGAGCAAGGAACCAAGGCCUCCUGUCAAUAGCCAGCCUUGGGUGUGAAGUGGUUGAUCCCUACAAAGAAGAGAAGAGGGUUUCCUCUGGAGAGAGUUGGCAUGCAGUGUGUUCAUCACCCCCCCCAACCAUGGGUCAAGUGAGAGAAGAUUCUGGAAACCCUCUUGGAGAACUGGCUGUGGAGGCCGGGAAGUCAAAGAUCAAGGCUCUGGCAGAUUCAGUGUCUGGUGGAGUCAGUUGAGGAUCGCAAGAUGAAAUUCUGAUGUAGUGCUGGUUCAAAGUCCAAUAACUGGUGUCUUUAGAGGAGAGGAGAGGACACACACCCAGAGAAGAAGGCCAUAUAAUGAUAGAGGCAGAGAUUUCCGUGAUGAGUUUGUAGACCAAGGAUCGCCAAGGAUUGCCAAGACCACCAGGAGCCUGGAGAGCAUGGAGCAGAUUGCCCACCACAGCCUCCAGAAAGACCCAACCCAGCCAAUGCCCUGAUCUCGGGCUUCCAGCCUCCAGAACCCCGACGGAACAAGUCUCUGUUGUUUCCACCACUCGGAAACUGUCUAGUUGGUUGUAACAGACCCAGGAAUCUGACUCAGUGACCAAAAUGAGAUUUUGAAGAUUACUGUCAUUUGAGAAUGAUCGUAAAAGCUGUCAUCCUCACCAACAUUUUAUGCACUUGGAAGAUGGCAGCUGUGAAAGAUAAUGAAGACGCUCUAUCUCAUGGUGCUCCCUGAGCUUCGUUCCAGCGGCAGAGUGAUUACAACAUACAGAUGAACACAAUUACCACAUACCUGCGCUAUUUAUGUAUUUAUUAUAUAUAGAUACUACAAAUGUUAAAAUACUAUACUGCUAUAUAGUACAGUAUAUCUGUACUAUAUUAUAUUUAUUAAUAUUUGUACGAUAUAAGUGUUAUUACAUCUGCACUAUAUACAUUUUCAAUUGUGGCUGCACUGCAUAUAAUUACAUCUGCAUUAACAUAUAUAUGAAUACACAUGCACUAUAUUGUCACAUCUGCACUGUAUAUGUUAUUACAACUCGCCUAUAUUGCAUCUGGACUGUAUAUAUUACUACAUCUGCACUAUACAUACACAAUGGCAUUUGCAGCGUGUAUAUUUAUAUAUAUAAACACAAUUAUAUCCACAAUAUGUAUUAUUAUAUAUGUACUUUAUAUUAUUACACCUGCACUAUAUAUAUUAUUACAUUGUAUAUAUACACACACACACACACACACACACACAUAUCUGUACUAUAUAUGAUGGUUCCUGGGUGCUUUACCAGGCUGUCCUACUAGGGAGAUGUUAUGAUCAAUGUCCUGUGGCACAAACAAUACAAAUGAGGUGUCAAAAGAGCAAGCCCCUCACCCACUGUUUCAGGCACCUCAGCCAAAGCCAGGCGCCGAGGCAAGGAGCACCUAUGUCCUGACUUUCUGGGCGGGGGUGUGUGUUCCUUUAUGAAAAGGCUUGGCUGAGUCAAUGCAUCUUCCUCUUCCCCAUGCACACUCUAGCACAACAUACCUUUGUUUUUAUUCAUGUUUAUUUGAGAAUCCGUAACAUUCUCUUCACGAGUCAUUGGGCUUUUAGCCUUUUGAGAUCUGGAGAGACCAUUCUUCAUUGUACUGCAAGGCACAAAGCAGGGGACUUAGCGGGGCUGGCAAAGAGGCUGCAAGUCUAAGCCAACUUCCAUCCACUGGCCAUGUCUGCCUAGAAUCCUGGGAUCCAUUAGUCAUGCCUGCCCUGGACCUAGGAGGGGAUGAGAGUGGUCUGUGUGCCAGAGAUCACAGAGCAAUUUUAAGUCCAGAGGGCCUUCAAUCUGUGAGUUUCCAGAAGAGUCUCUUAAAUGGUUGGAGUAUAGAGACCAAGUCUAUAUGUGGUCCUGUGGGUGAGACAACAUUUUGAAUUCUCCCAAGGGAAAAAGAAACCCACAGGAGAUUUCUGUUCUUGUUGGUUGCCCUAAAGAUAGUACGACGUGAAAACCCAAAGGAUCUAAAGGAAAAACAGAAAAUCUUGCUUCAUAGGAAGUUUUUGAUUUUCCACAUGGCAAAAGAAUGCCAUAAACAAUCAAGCGAUCAACAAACUGAGAAAAAAAAUAUGGAUCACAUGCCUAAUUAAGGCUUGAUUUCUUUUAUAUAUAAAGAAUUCCAAUGAACCAAUAAAAAAGUCCAGUACCCCAAGGGGCAUAAAUAGAAAGUUCCCUGAAAAACACAUUUAAAAUGACUUUCUCGGUCAUGAGAGAAUGCAUAGAAAAUAUUAUGAUGUAUUUCACCUGUCAGGUUGACUAAGCUAAAAAACAAAAUUGAAAAAUAUAUUAGCGAGGAUGUGAGGGACAGACACUCUCAUCCAUUGUAAGACUGAGGCAGCCCUUGGAAGGCGGUGGCCAGACCACACGGUCGCUGAGCCAUCCUUGGAGGACAGUGCAGUCUGGCUGCUGGGAUCCUUGCAUGCCCAUUAACUGGGCUCUGUUGUUUGAAACCUUCUGUGUAUGAUGGGGUCAACCACCACUCUUUAACCUGGUCUGCUUUUCAGUGGGUUAAUCUUUAAAUAUAUUAAGCAACAUUCUUUUGAACAUUUACUUAACAAAAAAUUGAUAUUUUUCUAGAUGAAGUUAUGUUCCCCAAAAUUCAUAUACUGAAGCCCUAACCCCCAGUCUGCUUAUAUUUGGAGACGGAACCUUUAGGGAGGUGAUUCAGGUUAGAGGAAGUGAUAAUAGUGGGGCCCGGAUCCAGUAGGAUUGGUAUCUUUCUAAGAGGAAAGGAAACCAAAUCCUGUUCUCGCCCCUCCUUGUGGGGACACAGCAAGGAGGCAGCUGUUUGCAAGCAAUGAAGAGGGCUGUCACCAGAAACCAGCCCUGCUGACACCUUGACUUUGGACUUCCAGCCUCCAGAACUGAGAGAAAAUAAAUUUCUGAUAAGCCACCCAUUCUGCAGUAUUUUUUUAUGGAAGUCACAGUGAAUUCUACAGUUGCAUAAAUAUUUAGAAGAUACUAUUAAAUGUCAUUUAAUGAACUGAGGAAUUUAACGGACCAAAAUUGCCGAAAACAUUUGAACAUUUGGCCACAUGUUUCAUUAAUGAAAUUCCCCUAAGCAUGUAAUUAAAAUCACAACCCCAGUGUGUAAUUUUGUUCCAACCAAAGAUGUCCACAGACAUCCAGACAUCAUCAGCAGUCCCCUUGGAGGCCAGGAUUGCUGGCUGACAUUGUUUGAAAACAACGUGUCUGCGUUUUCCGUGAAGGGAGAUUGUAUUAUCUUGCUCAUGACAAGCAUUAUGCUUGAUACAAGAAUCAAGCAGUCCUAAAUUCUAGAUUUGCAGGUAAUUGUUCUCCAAGAAUCAGGGAUGCAGCAGACGAGAACCUGACAAUUCACAGACUGGCUGAUGUAGCUCUAUAAGCUGUGCACGGUUCUGCGCUAGCCGACUCCAGCUUUGUAGUUCAAUGAAAACGAGUAGCUAGAAAGGCACAUUGUGAUAUGAACCCAAAUGAGUCCCCGUGACAUUCAUACACACGGAGGAGAUCAAUCAGUGGGAUGAAGCGAAUAGCCAAGCACAGCCAAUCUGAAUGAAGCUAUGAACACGCCUGUAAAGACAUUCAUGAAGUGUGCUGCAGAAGCAGCAGCCAGGAAGUCCAAGGUCUUCCUGGAGCAACUGGAUCUGGCUCAGAACCUUGGUGUCACCCUUAAUCCACCCUUUCCCCUCCACUGCUCCCUCCUUCCCUCUCUUCUUCUAUCCCUCUCUCUCUCUACCUUCCUUUAUCCUAUCACCCUUCCACCCACCCACCCAUCCAUCUUUCCAUCCUU